UUUUUCUUUUUUGUAGAGACAGGGCUUUGCCAUGUUGCCUAGGCUGGUCUCGAACCCCUGAGCUCAAGUGGUCCACCCGCCUUGGCCUCCCAGAGUGCUGGGAUUAUAGGCGUGAGCCACUGUGUCCGGCCUCCAAGAAUUCUUGUGUCUUACUUUUGUUAACGCUCUGAAUGCUCACUGAAGCACACACGUAGCCAGUUAAUCAUAUUCUGUAAUUAAACAUUUACGGUUAUUAUUCCCCCCAGUCUGCCUGCCCUCUUUAAUCCAUGAGAAUUUUCCCUAAUAUGAGGGAAGCCAAGGUAGAGAACUGGUUUUCUUCAGGUUGAGUCCAGUUCAGAUCAUGCCUUGGAUGAUUCUGGUUUUUGAUAGUUUUAGAACAA
rnacentral:lncRNA from 10 species